UAUUUAGCCGUCGCUUCUUCUGUAGGUACCGUCAUUUUUUCUUCCCUACUGAAAGCACUUUACGAUCCGAAGACCUUCAUCGUGCACACAGAAUUGCUGGAUCAGGCUUGUGGCCCAUUGUCCAAUAUUCCCC
rnacentral:rRNA from 1 species